UUUCCUGUGGCUCAGUUGGUAGAGCAUUGCUCUAAGAAUGCAAAGGUUGUGGGUUCGAAAUGUACUUACACAG